ACUCCUACGGGAGGCAGCAGUGGGGAAUAUUGCACAAUGGGCGCAAGCCUGAUGCAGCCAUGCCGCGUGUAUGAAGAAGGCCUUCGGGUUGUAAAGUACUUUCAGCAGUGAGGAAGGUGGGUAUGUUAAUAGCAUACUCAUUUGACGUUAGCUGCAGAAGAAGCACCGGCUAACUCCGUGCCAGCAGCCGCGGUAAUACGGAGGGUGCGAGCGUUAAUCGGAAUUACUGGGCGUAAAGCGCAUGCAGGUGGUUUGUUAAGUCAGAUGUGAAAGCCCGGGGCUCAACCUCGGAAUUGCAUUUGAAACUGGCAAACUAGAGUACUGUAGAGGGGGGUAGAAUUUCAGGUGUAGCGGUGAAAUGCGUAGAGAUCUGAAGGAAUACCGGUGGCGAAGGCGGCCCCCUGGACAGAUACUGACACUCAGAUGCGAAAGCGUGGGGAGCAAACAGGAUUAGAUCCCCCUGGUAGGCUCUGC
rnacentral:rRNA from 1 species